AGGACGAACGCUGGCGGCGUGCUUAACACAUGCAAGUCGAACGAUGACCUCCAGCUUGCUGGGGUGAUUAGUGGCGAACGGGUGAGUAACACGUGAGUAACCUGCCCUCCACUCUGGGAUAAGCACUGGAAACGGUGUCUAAUACCGGAUACGAGCUUCCGCCGCA
rnacentral:rRNA from 1 species